rnacentral:tRNA from 1 species
GACCCAUUCAUCUAAUGGUUAGGAUACAACCCUCUCACGGUUGGUAUACGAGUUCAAAUCUCGUAUGGGUCACCA